rnacentral:rRNA from 1 species
CACGUAGGCGGUUUUUCAAGUCAGAUAUGAAAUCCCCGGGCUUAACCUGGGAACUGCAUUUGAUACUGAAUGACUAGAGGCCGGGAGAGGGUAGUGGAAUUCCCAGUGUAGAGGUGAAAUUCGUAGAUAUUGGGAAGAACACCGGUGGCGAAGGCGGCUACCUGGACCGGUACUGACGCUGAGGUGCGAAAGCGUGGGGAGCAAACA